AAUCAACGCUGGCGGCGUGCCUCAGACAUGCAAGUCGAACGCGAAAGUCCCCCUCGGGGACGAAGUAGAGUGGCGCACGGGUGAGUAACACGUAGGUAAUCUACCUUCGGGUGGGGAAGUAACAAUCGGAAACGGUUAGCUAAUAACCGCAUAAAUGCAGCGGCACCUAAUGGUGACAGUUGUUAAAGCGGGGGAGUCGCAAGAUCUCGCGCCUGAAGAGGAGCCUGCGGCGGAUAGUCUAGUUGGUAGGGUAAUGGCCUACCAAGGCGACGAUCCGUAGCCGGCCUGAGAGGGCGGUCGGCCACACUGACACUGACAUACGGGUCAGACUCCUACGGGAGGCAGCAGUCGGGAAUUUU
rnacentral:rRNA from 1 species